AACGAACGCUGGCGGCAUGCUUAACACAUGCAAGUCGAACGAGACCUUCGGGUCUAGUGGCGCACGGGUGCGUAACGCGUGGGAAUCUACCCUUUGCUACGGAAUAACUCAGAGAAAUUUGUGCUAAUACCGUAUGAUGUCGAAAGACCAAAGAUUUAUCGCCCUGGGAUGAGCCCGCGUAGGAUUAGCUAGUUGGUGGGGUAAAGGCCUACCAAGGCGACGAUCAGUAGGGGAUGUGAGAGCAUGAUCCCCCACACGGGUACUGAGACACGGACCCGACUCCUACGGGAGGCAGCAGUAAGGAAUAUUGGACAAUGGUCGGAAGACUGAUCCAGCCAUGCCGCGUGAAGGAUGAAGGCGCUCAGCGUUGUAAACUUCUUUUGUACGGGAACAAAAUGCGACCUGCGGGUUGUACUGAGGGUACCGUAAGAAUAAGCACCGGCUAACUCCGUG
rnacentral:rRNA from 1 species